rnacentral:misc_RNA from 1 species
AGCACUUAUAGCUCAGUUGGUU